UGGUCCAAUUGCUUGCCUAUACAUAACUG
rnacentral:piRNA from 1 species